CUUCAGGGGGGCUGUGAAUUACCUUUCACCUACGUUAACUUUUUAUUGGAGUAGAAUACACGCGGAGAAGUGCACGGAUCAUGGGGUUCCCAUCCCACUUGCAAAAAGUCACAGGCACACCUCUUCAGCCAGCCCCCUCCAGAUGAAGAAGCACAAUCUCGCCAGCAACCCCAGAAACCCACCACCACGCCACGCCUCCCUUCUGGCCUUGAAGAAAAGCAGAAAGUCGCAAACGCUCUUUCCUCCAGGAAGCUUCUCGCAUCCCCAGUAGCAGCCUCCCAGGAUCCCCAUGUUGGGGAAAAGUGACUCUGGCUCGGAUCGGCAGUGUCGGAAAGGGAGACACGCGGACACGGGGAGAUCGAGGCAAGGCUCUUUAUCUCUGCAGAAGGGCGAGAGUGCCCACAAAGCGCGCCAAAGCGGGAAGCCCCCUCCCAUUUAUCCCUAAGGCAGGUGGCAUCCCUGUCCCCUUCCCAUGGGUCGGGUCAGGGCGCACAUUCUUCUCGGCUGGCUCAUUUGAAACAAAUUGUUCCUGGGAGAAGAGGGAGGAGGAGGGGGUCUCAGACGAAGCAGGAAAAAAUGGAGUCAGCAAGGCUUCCUCUGAUGGAAAAGGCAUAUGUUCAUUCUCACACCCAGAACCCGUUUUCUCACCUUUAUCAACCCCGCUGGCGGUGACCCAAGAGACUGUCUCCCGCAGCCCCCGCACGGAGCAGGGACCACCCAUUUUCUUCAGACCUGGUCGGAGGCAAGCGCUCUUGCCCAGGGCAGGGAGGGCAGAGAUUCGGCGGCCCUGGCCGUGCCCAGCACCCCCACUCCAGGGACCAGGAUGGCCCGGUGGGGAGAGAAGUCCUAGAAACUGUUCGGGGGCUGCAGGGAGCCUCAGAACCCAGCUUGGCCCAGACCUGAGGCCUGGUCACUCCAGCAGGUGCAUGGUCCCCCAGGAAGCCUCUCUCAGCCGCAGCCUCACUGAGGUCAGUGACUGGGGAGGCCCAGAGACCUAUCUCCCUCUUGUGCGUCAGCCUCAUCUCCUGGUCCAGGGCCUGCAGCUCCUGUGAGGACCUGGAGCACCUGACCAGCGGGGGAGAGGCGGGGGCCGCCAGUCACCCAGCUGGCCCAAACCUGCACCUGCUAUGGCCCCUUGCUUCACACCCACCAGUGUCCUAAAUGCGCCGAAGAUGACACAAGUCACAAAUAACCAGAACAUCAGAAAAGAGGGAAAAUGCUGGGUGCUGGGGGCGGGGAGGGGCUUCCCACGAAAACUGAAAACCCCAGAUGCCACCCAGGAAAAUCGCAAGAGCUCACAGGCAGACAAAAAUGAACAGCUGAAUGGCGGGCUGCAGGAAAUAUUUAUAAUGUGUCUGAGAGACAAAGGGGCGCUACUCCAUAAACAAAGUCUCCUCCAAAUUAAUUGGAAAUUGCUCUCAAUAGAAAAACGGACAGAGACUCUGAGUAAGCAAUUCACGGAAGAGGAGUAAAAACAGCAAUAAAUGUCUGAAAAGCUUCUCAACCAGGGAAAUUUAAAUGACAAAAUGAAAUGAUGAGAUUUUUUGGAGGUUCUUUUUUUUUGCCUGUGACAGUGGCCCAACAUCCAGAGCUAUCGAGAGCGCGUGGGGUGGAGCAGGCGGACGCGUCCACAGCCUGUGCACUGGGACACGUCUGGGGGCGGGUACUUUGUGGGUUUUUUUGUCUUUUUAGGCCCACACCCGUGGCAUAUGGAGGUUCCCAGGCUAGAGGUCUAAUUGGAGCUACCGCUGCCAGCCUACACCACAGCUCAGGGCAACGCCUGAUCCUUAACCCACUGAGUGAGGCCAGGGAUCAAACCUGCAACCUUGUAGUUCCUAGUCGCAUUCACCAACCAAUGAGCCACGACGGGAACUCCUGGAGGUGGGUACUUUGGCAGAAUGUUCCAUAAUGUGAAGUGCAUGGCCCUUCUUGGUGGGUGGUAGGCAGACGUUGGGGCAGGCAGGUGUGGGGGAAGCAGGUGUGGGGGCAGGUAGGUCUGGGGCUGGCAGGUGUGGGGCCUGGCAGGUGGGGGUGGGGUGGGCAUCUUGUGUGAGAUGCUAGUCUCCCAGUUCUGUCUAAAUGGACAGGGUCACUGCAACCUCACAGGUGGCCAAGAAGGUUUUGAUUCCAGCCCCCACCGCUGCGAGGGAGGGUCUGGAACCAGGCAGAGCGGGAAGGGUGGGGCCGGGGCAGGGUCUCUGUAGAGAGAUGAGCAGGCAGGGCAGGCGCCCCCAAACCAGGAGGGCUGCCCCCAGGACUUGACCAUCAACCCUCACUCAACAUGGAGACCAGAGCGGCCCUGGAGGUACCCUCUGGAGUCCCAUGAAGGGGGGAUCAGAGAGGAACCUACACCCCAACUCUGGGGCCAGUGGGUAUCCCCAGUGCCUUGCCCAUGCCCUUGGGGCUCCAGUUUGGGGUGGGCCGUGGGGCAUGGUGUCCUGCGCCCAGCUUGCUGGAAGAAUGACACUGUGGGGCUGCCAGGUAAGACACAGGAACCCAGCUGGGUUUGAAUGACAGGUAACUAACAAGUAAUGUUUUAUAGAACAUUAUCCAUGCAGUACUGGGGACACGCUUGUAC
rnacentral:lncRNA from 1 species